CACGUCAGGGCGCUUUGCUGAUGUGGCAACAAAUCGCGUCCACGAAAGCGCGAUUUGUGUCCACAUCAGCAAAGCGCGCUAACGGCG
rfam:Gossypium hirsutum cultivar TM-1 chromosome 5, whole genome shotgun sequence